GUUACCUCUAUUAUUUAAUUGCUUAAAUCUGCUAUUUCAAUUUUGUUUCUAGUAAAAUCUGCCGCUAUUUGAGUUCAGCUAUUUAUGUUUACAUAAGCAAGUGCUUCAUAAACAUCUAAAUCCACACCUUUGUUCCAGUUCAGCAAUGUCUUCUCUUUAUUACAGAUGUGCUUAUCCAAUUCAGUUUUCAGAGUGAUACACAAGGGAUUUUCAUCAACAAGUGGUCGCCAGAAGAACUGAAACAUCAAGAUGGCGUUUGUUUUUAGGUCAUGCCAUUCAGGAGAUGAUGCUAAGCUAAAUAAUCACAUCUAUGUGUACACUGAGACUGUUUUAUUAUGAGACUGUGUUUUAUUAUGAUGUACUGAGACUAUGUUUGUGUACACUGAGACUGUUUUAUUAUGAUGCACUGAGACUGUUUUAUUAAGCAGUGUGGAGUUCUCAGCUGUUGUUCUCAUUUUUAAUGCAAGUGUGUUCAAUGAGCAGUGUUUAAUGACAAACAGUGUUCU